CCUACGGGAGGCAGCAGUGAGGAAUAUUGGUCAAUGGGCGUAAGCCUGAACCAGCCAAGUCGCGUGAGGGAUGAAGGUUCUAUGGAUCGUAAACCUCUUUUAUAAGGGAAUAAAGUGUGGGACGUGUCCUGUUUUGUAUGUACCUUAUGAAUAAGGAUCGGCUAACUCCGUGCCAGCAGCCGCGGUAAUACGGAGGAUCCGAGCGUUCUCCGGAUUCAUUGGGUUUAAAGGGUGCGUAGGCGGGCUUUUAAUGCAGCGUUGAAAGUCUGUGGCUCAACCAUAAGAGUGACGUUGAAACUGGGAGGCUUGAGUAUGUUUGAGGCGGGCGGAAUGCGUGGUGUAGCGGUGAAAUGCUUAGAUAGCACGCAGAACCCCGAUUGCGAAGGC
rnacentral:rRNA from 1 species